UGGCUCCUUCUCAGUGGCUGGCUCCUUAAUUAUCACUUCCUAAGAGUGAUAUGAAGAUUAAUUACACUUUCUAAACAGGCCACUGGUGAAAAUAACUGAAAUAUAUGAUGGCUCUUUGAGGAAAGGCACUGUGUAACAUUAAGCGUGUCCUAGUGUAAUAGCAAGUAAAUGAAAGUUCAUCCUCUGCCUGCUCUACAUUCACUAUUGAAGGUAAUUUCUGCUCCGUGAACACGGAUUUGAUAUUCGACAUCAGGCUCUUUCACUCCAUACUGAUCCUAGGACUUGUUUUCCUGUGAUUUUAAUGGUAGGAAAUGGAACUACCAAUUCCAUACAGAUGUCGAAGAACCAGCCUUGCAGACAGCUGGAAGAAACAGGUGUACAGAAAUCCAGGGACUAUUAACAUAUCUAAUUGAAUAAGUGUUGGUAGUUACAAAAGUAAUUAAGAAUAAAAGA